AAAAAUUAUGAAACUUGGAUGAAGCCUGUUUGACAAACCUGAUAUCAAACCGCUACAACUUGAUAUUCAAAGCAUAUACGUCCUGCAGUAAUUCCUAAUAUAUUAAAAUCUAAAUAUUCUGCUGAUCAUUAUUAUUAUGAACAAAUUAGGUCAACGGCUUUUUCCAAACUUCAAAUAUGCUUGCUUUGAGUGCUGAUCGAAGUGACAAGCCGGGGUUUUUAGUUGUGACUUUCGUUGGGUAUCAUAAAAUAAAGUAUAUACUGUAUCUUCUUGCAUUACAAGUACCGACAUAUAAUAAUACACUUCUCUUUUUAGAUUUCAAUGAGACUGUUUUGACUUGUUGAAAUGUGAAAAACUGAAUAGACUAUACACAUUUUCCAAAAAGUAAUUAGAACUCAAUUACUCGGCUAAUGUAAUCACAGGAUCCAUUAUUUCAAGAGCUUUGGCUUGAUUACGAGUCACAAAUCUAGCUUCAACUGACAAUAACAAAACAAACAAGUGGCGCCACGCAUUGC